AUGAGCUGUUUGAGCUGGAACUGCCGGGGGCUUGGGAACCCCGAGGCAGUUCGAGAGCUUCGCAAUGUGGUGAAGCAAGAAGGGUCCGAGCUGGUUUUUGUUAUGGAGACAAAGAUCAGAGGCAAACGAGUGGAGGAUUUGCGGCACACCCUAGGGUUUGCAGGCAGUUUUGCGGUGGACAGUGACGGCCUAAGCAGUGGUGUAGGGCUGUUCUGGUCUAAAGAAGUGGAUGUUGAACUUAAGUCGUAUAGUAAGAGUCACAUAGAUGUUUUGGUCCAGGAUGGUGUACCGGGCUCAAAUGCAUGGAGGCUGACGGGGUUUUAUGGAGCGCUGAGAGCAGCAGAUCGUCACCACAGCUGGCGCUUCCUAAGAACACUACAUACUAUUCCUCAUGCUGCAUGGAUGUGUAUUGGUGACUUCAACGAAACUCUGUAUCAAGACGAGCACUUCAGCUGA
rnacentral:rRNA from 1 species